rnacentral:tRNA from 1 species
GGGCGAUUAGCUCAGUUGGUAGAGCAGGACUUUUACACAGUCAAGGCCGGGGGUUCGAGUCCCUCAUCGCCCACCA